rnacentral:rRNA from 1 species
UACAGAGGGUGCAAGCGUUGUUCGGAAUUAUUGGGCGUAAAGCGUGCGCAGGCGGUUUGCUAAGACAGGUGUGAAAUCCCCGGGCUUAACCUGGGAACUGCGCUUGUUACUGGCAGGCUUGAGUGUGGCAGAGGGGGGUGGAAUUCCACGUGUAGCAGUGAAAUGCGUAGAUAUGUGGAGGAACACCGAUGGCGAAGGCAGCCCCCUGGGUUAACACUGACGCUCAUGCACGAAAGCGUGGGGAGCAAACAGG